GGACUGUGGCUCAGUGUUAGAGCGCUUGCCUAGCACGUGCGAGGCCCUGAGUUCAAUCCUCAGCACCA
rnacentral:tRNA from 1 species